CAAGUAGCAUUCAGUUGGGGAAGCUUCAAGCAAACUUCAUGUGAAGGGUGGUGAAUUUGAGUUUUGAGGUAGGUGUAGCAGCUAAAUACACAGCUCAUAGGAAAAUGGUUAUUGAGGUUUCUAGUGGAAAGUGAAUGCUUGUGCAGGGAGGUCAUCACUUAGAAGUGCGGCAUAGAUAAGUCAAUGUCAAACAAAAGAUGCAUUAUCUCUUUAUUUAUCAAAAAAAAAGAUGCAUCAAUAACUAUAAAGUAGGUGUUUGGAAGGCUAUGGUGGCAAACUUCAUAAGUGUAUAGGGAUUACAUAUAAAGCUAAGGAUGAGAGAAGGGUUAGAGUUGGAUUGAAAUUGGGUGUGGAAGCAUUCCCCUAAGGUGGAAUGGAUGCCGGUGCACAAGCAACUUUAGGAAUGUGACCUUCGUGUGUGGUUGUUGUAGUGCUCAGAUGGAAUGUGAAUUUAUAAGGCAGAAUCAUGAUUAAAAACUUAAUAGCAUCAGUGCCUCUUCAAAAAACUUUAUUCACUAAAGAAAUGAAGAAAUGGUUCCUCCUCAAUGAAAUCUCUACAUCAAAAUUAAUUUUUGAAACAAAGAGUACUUUGUGGUUGAAAGCAAUUAGAUGUUGGUUGUUCCUCCAAAGACAGAUUCCAUCUUGGAUGGGACUAUAAAUAAAUGUUCAAUGGUUGAUCAUUUUAUUAAUAAGAAUUACUUAGUCCAAAUCAUUGCAUUAUAUGUAAAAGAAGGUGAAUCAAUUAAUCACCUCAUUCUGCACUAUCAGGCAAUUCCAUGGUUUUUUUUCUUAAUAAACAGAUAGUGUAUAUCAAAAAUGAUCAUCUAUGUACACUCUAACCCAUUCCAAACAAAGUACUCAUAAGACAAUCUUUAAGUGUUUAUUCUAAUUGUUCUAAGUCUUCAAAAGACCUCUUGUUUUUAUCCUUCCAUAGCAUCUAAAGGGGUGGCUCUUCGAGCCUUUUUUUCUUUUUCUUUUUCUUUUUCUUUUUCUUUUUCUUUUUUUUUCUGUUUCUUUCCCAUAAAAGACCCACGCCAACUCAACAAACUUCCUCGUACAAUAAAGUGCAUCACCUAAACCACACCAAACAGAGAGAAAACUAGUUGCCAUAGGAUACCUGCUUUAUGGCAAUGAAGUAGCAAAUGAUCAGUUGAUUCUUCCUCAACUUUGCACAUAUGACAUCUAUUUGGCAUUAUCCAUUCCCUUCUUUUAAGUUGAUCAAUCAUUAAAAUCUAUUCCCAUGUUGCUUCUCAUGCAAAGAAUCUCACCUUCCAAAGAUGAGUCUCCACACCAUCACACCAUUUAUCUUUCUAAAAUUUGACCCUUCUUCCAUUGCCAACUUUGAAAUGAGAUCUACUCAUGAAGGACUCUCACCCACCUCUAGUAGCUUUCCACACACCCAACCCAUAACCAUCCUUCACACCCUUUGAACACCAACCCCCUACUUCUUCCCAAAAUUUUUGUGCUAUAAUACUUUUCCAUAAGAAAUCCCUCCCAAUUGUGAAUCUCCAGCUCCACUUGCCAAGGAGUGUCUUGUUUAGAGUAGAGAGAUUUCUAAUACUAAGGUCAUCCUACUUUUUGUCCAAGCAAACUAUGAACCAAUUAACCAAAUGGGGUUUUUUCCGCUGAUGCAGCCCCACACCAAAGGAAGUUUUUUCAAAUUUGUUCUAAUCUUAAACACACUGUUUUUAGGAUGACAAACAAAAACAUGAAGUAAAUUGGUAGGCUCAAGAUAAGUCUCCCAACUUUGGAAAGAUAUUCCCUCUUUCAUAUAUUGAGCCUUUUUUGAAAUCUUUCUUCCACCACAUCUUAAACUACCAUUGCUUUGAAAGAAGCUCCUUCACUUUGUCAAGUCCCCUGACCAAAAUUAGUUUAUUUUCUCCAAAUUAAUUUUAAAUCUGUAUGUUGCCUCAAACCACAUAAAAGACCAACUCAGAUACACCAAUUAUUCUUCCCUCAUGUUGCAGAAGAUCGAUGUAUUGCCAGAAUAUGGUAGAUAGGUCAUUUCUAACCAUGCACCAUAUUUACCACCCACCUUGAAGCCCCCUUCACUAGCCCUUCACAGAAUCCAACUAAGUGCCUCCAUGACAAACAUGAAUAAGGAGAAAGGGGGUCCCCCUGUCUUGGCCUCCCAGAGAUUUAAAAGAAACCAGACAAGGUCCCGUUAUCUAGAAAAUUUUGCUCAGAAGAUGCACCAACAACUAUUCUAUGGUUAUGAACCUUUGCAUUCUCUCUUUUGGAUCACAUAGGUGAGGACAUGGAUUAGGAAAAAGGAUACUGGAGAUUGGUGGACAAGAAUUGACAACAACGAAUUUUUAAAAGAGUGUUACCAUUGAUCAUUUAAUUUUUUGCAUCAUUUGGAAGGAAAAAAAUAAGAGAACCAUUGGGAAUGAAGAGAGACCUGCAAGGGGAUGACAUUGAUUUAUGCAAAACUAGUUAUGGAAUAGUCCUUUCUGCCAUGGGUACGUACUUGUUUUUUUUUUUUUCCUUUGCUUAUGUGGUAGUUUUGUUUUCUUUUUCAAGUGUAUAUAGCAUGUUCCAACAAAUCCUACAUUUUCUAGGAAUUCAAUUUAUUUAUUCAUAAAGGCCAUUCAUCAUUAUCUCACUCUUCAUACACAAAAUCAAAAAAUAAACAAAUAUUUUGUAAGUUCACCAUUAUGCACACAAAUACAAAAGAAUUCUCUCCUAUAAGAAAAAAAUUCAAGAAUUAUAUAUGAGGAUUUUCCAGGUCUGCAUCCAAAGACAAGAAUCAUGUCCAUGUCCAUAAGCCAUAGCAUUUUAACAUACCAAUGAAGAGGACUUCUCCCAUCUCUAUCCGGUGCAUCAAAAUCUGCAUGGUACUUUGCAACAAGGUGAUUUAUGAAAGCUGUUUGUCCAUAUUGAGCAGCAACAUGAACUGCCUGCAAAAAAAUGUUGGGUUUAACAACUGCAAGCCUGAAAAUAUAACAAGCUUAGUAUGCAUAAAAACAAGAAAUAGAUCAGAAAAUUUAGAUCAAGACCAAAACCAUCAGGAAAAAAAAAAAAAAAGUUUUUUUUAUAAGUAAAAGCAAUUGUAUUAAGAAAGCCUAAAGAAGUACACCUGAAAGUAUACAUAAUGACUACAAAGCAACAAGGCCAAAAAGAAAAGGGAGAGCAAAAAAUCACAAAAUCACCCCUUUACUCACAUCCCAACCAAUCAAUGAAAUCAUAUAUAAACCACGAUUUACACCCUACAUGCACCCUAAUCUAAUCCAAAAACAUGUACAAAAAAACUUAACCAUCAAUGACUAAAAAUAUCCUUAACCAUAAAAAUAUAAUUUCUAAAAUAAAAAUAAAUAAACAAAAAAGAAACAGAAAAAAUCAUGACUAUAAGUGCCUAAUUUCCCAAGCAUCAACAAAAGCUUAUGAAUAUUGCCAUUUUCAGAUUUUCAACCCAAUCCAAAGGGAUCACCGGAAAUCCAGCAGGGGUUUGGUGUGGUAUGUAAGGGGCAAGUGGAUUUGGAGACUCAAUUCCAUUUCUUUACACCUCAGUAGGAAUCUAUGGGUCAUGGAUUAAGGUGCAAGAGUAAUGUAGUUCACCAAAACCCAGGUUCUAUGAGAAGCUUCAAAUGACUGAAAAUUAGAAAAGGUGCUAUGUUUCUUUAGCUUCUAUUCAUUUGAAGAAAAUCAGAAAGUUUGGAAUCCAUAGAAAAAAUGCUUUUUGAUUUCCUUCUAUUUUUUUCUAGAAAUCUCACCUCCUUCCCAGUAGGGAAUUCCUGUGUCUGUAGUGUGGAGUUCCUGUUCACCAUUAAAAGUUGGCUUCAUGGGCUGCCCUUUGGAAAAUACUUGACUUUAGACCCUUAGAGACAUAGAAAUUGCAUCCUAGCUAAUUGUUUGUUGUUUGUGUAAAAUGAGUCAUCUACAAAUCAUAUUGUCCCUCAUCAAGAGAUGAUAUGCCAUCUCUGGGCUUUAGUUUAUUCUGUGUUCGAAAUCUCUCAGGUUCUGCCUCAGUCCAUUAAGAACUUCCUAAUAUCUUGCAAAUAGAAUUUCGUGUGAAAAAAGAAGUAUCAAAUUCAGCUCCAUGUGUACUUUUGGGUGUUUGUGAAACCAGAGGAAUCUUCAAAAGAUUUUGAAGGGGUAGAGAUCUUUGGUAUAAAACUGAAAUAUGUAUUUAAAAAAUUUUAAUUUUGGUUUAUGUGGUCUCUGGAUCCUACGAAAAUGGGAGUAUCUGUGAUUGACCUUUUCGGGUGAGCUAGCAGUAUAAACAGAUUUUCAGCAUUCUUUUCCCCUUUUUUUCAUUUGCCCCCCUGAUUGAAUGGCACUCUAUAUACAUAAUGUGCACUAGAUUCCACUCCAUUUUUGCAUGUGAAUUGUACUUUUAACUCAUCAAACAAAAAGUUAUAAACACUUUUAAAUAAAUUAAAAAAAUUAAAAGACGUUGGUACCUGGGAAAAAUAAUCAUAUCAUGCAUGCAAAUUUUACGAUAUCAAAUUUGCAGAAGGCUUGAUCUCAAAAGAUAAGUUCACUGUUAUCAACAGCUCAAGGAGUCCCCUCAGCAUGUUAAACUCAAACAGCUUUAGAAUUUGAGAGUAUAGUAGGCAGUUUCUUCCCAUUUUUUAUCACAUUUGGAAUGCUGGAAUAGAAAAUGGGAAGGGGAAGUUUGGAUUUUUUUUUAGGAUGGAACUAGGAAUCAAAAAUUCAUUAGUAUGGAAACCAAAUCCCACUCUCACUAGUGUGAUUCACCUCAAUUCCCAUCCUACUUUCAUUCCUAUUCCCACAUACCAAUCACACAUUGUACUAAGAAUUGGAACCAUUAGAACAUUGAGAAGUUAACAAGGAUAUCUUGUUAAUCAUAGCCAUAUUUCCACUUGUUGAAGCAUUGUUUCAAUUUAAUUGGAAAUAGGAGUGGAGUGGAGGAAUUGAAAAACAGAAAUGGAGUAUACAGUAACACCAAAGAACAAACUCUCAAACAAGCAUCAUGUCAUCUAUUCAUACAGCAUAUUACCAAUUGAAGAAAAAGAAAGAAUUGAAGUAACCAAGAAGCCAAUUACCCGAUACCCAUUAAUAUCAGCCGCCUCCACCCGAGCUCCAUUCUGUAAAAGGAUGUCCGCCACCGAAACCGCACCCCGAACCGCAGACCAAUGCAAAGCCGUCUGCUGUGAAUUAUCGACCGCAUUCACAUCACCGCCAUGCUUCAACAACACCAAAAAACAAUAAAAACUCAGCAAUUCCUUCACAAAAUCCACCAAAACAAAACCACAUUCAAACAAUUCACAAUACCUCGAUGACGUACUGCACGAUAUCGGGGAAAUUAUUGAGAGAAGCCCAAUGAAGAGCAUAGUACCCAUUUCCAUCAGGCUUUGAGAGAGAAGCGCAGUUUUCUUCUACAAAUUUCCGCAGUUUUGGGAAAUCUCCGUAGGCACAAGCGGAGAAAACGUCGAAGAUGUGGGCUUCGUUUUUCGGAGUUUUGGAGUCUGAGUCGACUUCGAUCUCGGGAGAAGCCAUUCAACUACUACAUGCGAGAGGUACACGGAAUCUUAGGGUUUUUUUAGCCAGCAAAGAGGCACAACGGAGAAGAUAAUGUGGACAGCGCGAAAGGGCGAGUUUCGGGAAGUUCACCUUAUGCCAGCGUGGCAUUUCGGUUACUCGGCCGCGACACGUCAGUAAAUUAUGGCUCAAUAAAAAUAUUUUGUUGUUUUUGGGAAAAUGAUUUGUCUCGUUGAAUUUAUAAUUUUGUUUAUAAAAUAUUUGUCCCCAGAUGCCCAAUACAACGUGGCAGUUAACCGUCAUAAUUUUGAAAAAAUAUAGGGGAAUUUAUGUAACCAUACACCAAGGGGCAAAAUUUUGUCUUUUGGAAACUUAACUUUUUACUUUUCAAAUUCAAUGGAUUUUGUAAAAAAUAAACAAUCUUUCAUACACUGUAAUAGUGAUGUUGAGACCCUUUCAAAAAUACCCUCCUAUAAUUUGACAUCUCUCCUAGUUGGAUAAGUUGUUUGUUGUCCACUUAAGCCAAUGACAUGACUCAGUUACAUGUCAUCAGCCAGCUAGACAUUCCACAUGGAUUGAUGUUUUAAACAAUAUUUACCCCCAAAUAUUUUCUUCUUUCUUCAACCAAACCCUAACACCAAAAACUCAUGUUCUUUCUUAUUCGUUCACAAGCACAACCCAUCACAAGGCGAAAGGAUCCAUAAAAAAUCUGGUAGGUUCUCAAAUCGCGAUAACCCAUCAACCCCAAACGAACCUCCAAACUUGAUCUCUUAUUUUGUUUCUCCUUCAUCACCAUAAGGAAGACGACAUCUUCAUUUUCCCAACAAACAUCAAUCUGAAAACAAAAGUCCAAGUGCGAACCCCUUAACAAAGGCCAGGUAGACAAAAAAAAAACUCAUUUCCUUCUUCUUAUUUCAGGAGUGACAGUCAUUUUUCUCCUGGUUGUACUUCCUAUUUUGUUUUUACAUCGAAAAAGGAGAAAGAAAGCAAUUGAGAGAACGAGAUAACGAAGAAUAAAAAUAUUGUAGUUGCAUUUAACUUUUAAAGCAAGGGUUUUUCUAGGUGAUAUAUAUAUAUAUGUUAUUAAAUUUUGUAAUAACUUUAUAUUUUGAUUUGUCAUUUUGAUUCUUUGAGAUUUGAAUAAUGUCAUAGUUAUGUGAUUUGUGCAAUUUUGUGAUUUAAACUUGAUUACAUUGCAUAUUUCUACAUGUUCAAUGUCCAUUAAUAUUGUAUCUAAAUUUAUAUUUUAAUUUAUUUAGGGUUUAUUUGAAAUGAAAUAUGGCUUAAAUUUUGAUAAAUGAUGGGAAAAUGAGAUGGUGGUAAGCUAUAUUGAUUUUGUUUUAUUUCUGAAUUGUUGUGUUUGUGUUGUAUGUGGUUGUUGGGAAGAAUACGGAAAAGAGAAGAAAAAUAUGAGUAUUGCAUGUGAAGGGAAUACAAUUUUUAGGAAUGUUCAAACAAUUUGUUGUUUAAUGUUGUUUAUGUGGAAUUCGAGAUGUUUUGUUGUUUAAUGUUGUUUAUCUGGGAUUCCAAAAUGAGUAAUUUGAGUGAUCUUUUAUAGUUGUUAAUUGGUGAAUCUAAUGCAUGGGAAAAGAAUUCAUGUUUAGUCAUGAGUAGAUGAGUAUAAAUUUUAAAAAUGAUUGGGAUUAAAGUUUGAAUAAAUUUCUUAAUAAAAGUUUUGAAUUUGUAAUGAAUAAGGAUUGAAUUGAAGAAGAAAAUAAAACAAAUUUAGUAAAGCGGGCAUGAAUUUAUGUGGGAAUUAGGAAAAAUAGUAUUGGAGCCUUAGGUUCAAAAUUGAUGGUCACAACCACAAAUAUGAAAUUUGUUUUGUUUAUGUGUGUAGUGGUCAUAGUAAGGGUCUACCCUUAGAUGAAGGGGUUGGCUGUAAUUCAGUUAAUGACAUUUGAAUGAAAUUAUUGUUUUCGUAAGAGGUUGCAGUAAGUGAAUUAAAGGUUGACCCAUUUGUUUGGAGGUAGGGCCUUAGUUGUAAAUAUUGUUGUGGUUUAAUUUGGAUAGUAUGCAAAAUAAAGGCUGACCCAUUUGUUUGGAGGUCGGCCCUUGGUUGUAAACAUUGUUGUGGUUUAAUUUGGGUAGUGGGCAAAAUAAAGGUUGACCCAUUUUUUUGGAGGUCGGCCCUUGGUUGUAAACAUUAUUGUGGUUUAAGUUGGGCAGUAGGCAAAAUAAGGGUUGGCCCAAUUGUUUGGAGGUCGGCCCUUGGUUGUAACAUUGUUAUGGUUAAAUUUGGGCAGUGGGUAAAAUAAAGGUCGACCCAUUGUUUGAGGGGGUGGCCCGAAGAGAGUGAAAUUAGCACAAUUUGGCUUGAAGAGUUACCAAAACAAUGGUUAGCCCAUGAAUUGAGAGGUUCACUCCCUAACUUAUAUAACAUAACAAAUUACUACGAAGUAAAAUAGAAUAAUUGCAUUGCUUAAUGUUAAGUAUACACUAUGCAUGUCUAUAUUUACACCAUUAAUUGUAAACUAUGAAAUGUAAAUGAAGCUCGUUUGUAAAGUUUCAAAGAUAAAUGAUGUAUUAAUAUAUGAUGGUCAUAGGCAUGAUAAUCAGUUUUGUUAUAAGUAAGUUGGUUUAUGCAGUGUUAUUAAGAAAUUAGUUAAUUGUUUCAGCUUGACUAAAGGUUCAUGCUUCUAAACAGGGGUUGCACAUGAUCGAGUAGCAUUUAAAUGGAUCCAAAUAAUACAAUUUAUUGUUAUCUGCACAUUGGAGGAGAGCUAGUAAGGGAUGAACAUGGCAAUGUAGAAUAUAUGGGUGGGAGACGAGAGGGUCUAAGUUUAGAACGAUCAAUGACAUAUAAUGAUUUUGUUUCAAGGAUUUGUGGGAAAAUGAACAUCAAUAUAGUGGGACCAACAUUUUCAUAUACUCUCCUGUUUGAUUUAUAUGCACUUCAUCCAUUGAAAAAUGAUGAAGACUUGACAAA
rnacentral:lncRNA from 1 species